rnacentral:rRNA from 1 species
UAGGGAAUCUUCCGCAAUGGACGCAAGUCUGACGGAGCAACGCCGCGUGAGUGAAGAAGGAUUUCGGUUCGUAAAACUCUGUUGUUAGAGAAGAACAGCGCAUAGAGUAACUGUUAUGCGUGUGACGGUAUCUAACCAGAAAGCCACGGCUAACUACGUGCCAGCAGCCGCGGUAAUACGUAGGUGGCAAGCGUUGUCCGGAUUUAUUGGGCGUAAAGCGAGCGCAGGCGGUUAGAAAAGUCUGAAGUGAAAGGCAGUGGCUCAACCAUUGUAGGCUUUGGAAACUGUUUAACUUGAGUGCAGAAGGGGAGAGUGGAAUUCCAUGUGUAGCGGUGAAAUGCGUAGAUAUAUGGAGGAACACCAGUGGCGAAGGCGACUCUCUGGUCUGUAACUGACGCUGAGGCUCGAAAGCGUGGGGAGCGAACAGG